UAAAGUAAAUAAAUUAAAAGAUUACGUGUUAAAAUUAAAAUUUUGAAAGGUUGAGUAGUCUAAUCAAAAUAGUCUAUAGUUUAAGUUAGUUUAAGUUAGUUCUAUAUUUGCACUUUCUUUUUUUUUUUUGUACUCUUUAAGAUGUAAACUGCAGCCUUUAAGAGAUAUUUAUACUAUUUGAGAUAUUUAUAUUGUUUCUUUUCUUAUUGCACUGUUUCUCUUUUUAUUGUACUAUUUUUUCUCUUAAAGGGUGCAACAAGAAAAGAAACAUUAUAAAUAUCUUUCAAACAAUGCAACAAGAAAAAAAAUAGUAUAAAUAUCUCUCAAAGAGUGCAACUUUCGUUUAAACAGUGUAACUUUUAUCUUAAAUGAUGUAGUUUAUAUCUCAAAGAGUGUAAUAAGAGGAGAAAUAGUGUAAAUAUCUCUUAAAAAAUAUAAUUUUUGUUUAAAGAGUGUAACUUUCAUCUUAAAGGGUGCAGUUUACAUCUCAAAUAGUGUAAUUUACGUUCAUAAUAGUGCAACAUUCUUUUAAAAUAGUGCAAUUUAUUUUAACAGUAUAAUUUUAUCUUCAUCUUUCUUCUUCUAUAAUUUUUUGUCUUUAUUUUUUUUUCUACUUAUUUCUUCCACAACUUUUUUUUGUUACAUCUCUCCGUCAACGGCCACUGCGCCGGCGACGACGCGGCUAAGUUUCCCCCGCUCCGAGGCUGCGGUGCCACAGCGACCUUCGUGGCGUCGUCGUCGGAGGCAGCGGAGGGAGAGGGAGACGGAGAGGAAGAGGGCGGGAAGAGCGGGGGAGGGCGAGAGAAGGCAAGAGAGGCGUCGUCGUCGGAGAUAGUGGAGAAAGGUCGGAGAGAGAAAAAAAAAAAAAGAGUCGCGGCGCGGCCUCGGCGGGGUUGGAGGCGAGGAAGACAGGUGCGCGGGCGAGGGCGAGAGCCUGAGAAUGAGAGGCGAGGCAGGCCAUUUCCGCCUCCACCUCAGCCUCCGCUGCUUUUUUCGGUGAGAGAAAAAAAAAUGAACGAGAGAGGAAACAAGAGGAGAGAGAAAAAAUAAUAAGAGUAUUUUCGUCAGUUUGCUAAAAAUUUGGAGCGAAUCUGUAAAAUUGAAAAAGGCUGCUCAGUUUUGCAAGAGCUCAAAAUUUGUGAAUUUUUUUAUACAAAUUGGCCAAAAGAAAAUUAUACUUGUG
rnacentral:lncRNA from 1 species